AGAAAAAGGAUGUGAAGGAUGUAUUGAAUUCUUUCACAUCAAUAAGAAAUUCCUGCAUAAGAUGCACAAAAAAUUGAAUAAGGAAAAAAAAUUAGAGCAUUGCUCCACUAUAAGGUUUUUACAAAGAUGUGUAGAAAUGAACGACAUCUUUGAACAUGUAGUAAUGUAGUGCCUUAAAAUAUUUCGCCUUGUUCCUUUUGUUUUUCAACAAUGACAAUACACACACCAUAUGCAGAAUGAUAUUAAAUAAUAUUGUAUUUCGAACCAUAAUUCUAAUUAUGAAGUGAUCUGACAGAUCACAUAUUUUAUGAUUCUUUUUAUCUUUUAUUUUUUUCCUAGUAUAUUGGAUAAAAUUUAGACGUUUUGAAAAUAAAUCUCAGAAAUGAAC
rnacentral:lncRNA from 1 species